AAAGUACUCCCUCCGUUCGGAAUUACUCGUCGAAGAAAUGAAUGUAUCUAGAUGUAUUUUAAUUGUAGAUACGUCCAAUUUUAGUGACAAGUAAUUCCGAACGGAGGGAGUAGAAC
rfam:Triticum aestivum genome assembly, contig: Triticum_aestivum_CS42_TGACv1_scaffold_050412_1BS